GUAGGUGAACCUGCGGAAGGAUCAUUAAUUUCGGUGGUUUUCCACUGUUAUGAGGGGGAUUUCGGUCCCUUCUCUCCUUCCUAGUCUUUUGAGUGCCCAAGUUUCUUUGGUAGGCUUGUCUGCCAUUGAUAAUCUAUAACCUUUUUAAUUUUAAAUCAGCGUCUGAAAACUUUAAUAAUUACAACUUUCAACAACGGAUCUCUUGGUUCUG
rnacentral:misc_RNA from 1 species